rnacentral:misc_RNA from 1 species
AUGCGAUAAGUAAUGUGAAUUGCAGAAUUCAGUGAAUCAUCGAAUCUUUGAACGCACAUUGCGCUCUUUGGUAUUCCGGAGAGCAUGCCUGUUUGAGAAUCAGUAAAUCUAUCAACCGCUUUAUUGCGGUUGGAUAUGGGUCCUUUGAGACUUCACAGCCUCAAUGACCUGAAAUGAAAUGUUACGCAUCCUUGGACUAACAGUUCUUGGGCAUACGCAUGAAUGAGGCAACUCACAAGUACGUCUGUUCUCAUGGAAUUGUCGGUUUGAUUGGACUGGGUAACUCAACUAUUAUCCAGAGUUGGACGACGUCAGUCAGCCUUCUUUGAACACUUGGUCUCAAAUCAGGUAGGAAAACCCGCUGAACUUAA